GGGUUGGAUCCAAUAACUAUUAGGUGAGAGAUCCAAUGACGGCCUUGCACCUGCUUGUGAAUGGUGGGUCGGGCUUAACUAAGGAGUAUGGGCAAUAACUGUUAGGUGAGCCCACAUGACAUAGAGACCAAGUCACUGCAAUAUGAUUAGAGAAAUAUCUGGACAAAGAGUUACCUACGCAUCGGUGUGCAUGUUACCAAUAACUGUUAGGUGAGGUACAUGGCAUCG
rnacentral:lncRNA from 1 species